ACCCUGCGCACGGGCGCACCGACGUCACUGCUCUCGGUUUAUCUGUCUUUGGCUUGGCAUGGACUCUUGGCUUGGCCGCUUGGCUUCUUUCGUUUCGUCCUCUGUGCAUCGUACAUAAGCGAACAGCUGUUAUGUUGUUGCUAAGCCAGAAACAAAGCAUGUGAAUAUUUUUUUUUUUGGCACGGCGUCGUUUGGAAAGUGCACUUCCUUGUUCUGACCUUGCCUUUUAUGGGCUGGAGCGAUAUGAUACGUAAUAUGCCACGGCGAAGUUGUCGAAGAUACGACGGUGCUACGCUGUUAGAACAAUUCAUCGGAGCAUUCAAGUGUUACCUAUAUUAUAAGCUGCCAAAAGUGCGAAGCUCUUGGCUGACAGUGGUGCCUGCUAAUUUCCACUGCAAGGAUUUCGUCCACGAACGUUAUCCUAGGUUACGCGCGUCUCCAGAGGCACUUUGGAGUCUCGGCACGAAAUCGUCUGAUGAAAAUCUCAGGUGCCCGACGCACAACGUUUUGAACGUGUUAUGGUGGAUCAAGACAAAAAACGAGAGCAAAAAAGGUGCACGCUGAAGGCGGAAAUGAAGCAUGAUCUGGCUUGUAUCUGGUGCAGGAAGAAAUGGCUGACACGUUAGUUGCAGUCUACCUCCACCAAUAGGGUGGAAAACAAAGGUCGCCAUCCCGAUUAGCUGCUAUCUCCCAGUUCAAGCACUUUUGCUGUCUGGACACUGGUUCCUGUGGACGGGGUGUUACAAGCUUCACUGUCUGAUAUAGAAGUGAUGAGCAUCCAUAAGGACACAUGCCAGAAAAGGAGUCUGUUCGGGAUGACAAACCCUCAUCACCUCAUGAGGAUACAAUGGUUGACGAAUGGUUCUCAAGCACAUCGAAACUUCAACAAAUAAUUCAUGAAAAAGCCAGUCAGUGCUAGCACCAGGAAUUGAACGUGGACCUUCCUGCUACCAGUCAGAGAUGAUACAUUUCAGGCGCUCAUUGACUUUUGGUGAAUUACUUGUUGACUUUGUCCCAAGGUGGAGCUCGCCACAGCUCAUUUGCUUAUCUGUUAAUGUUGUGGCGUGUGUUGCGUUUUUCUCUUUAUGUGUUCCAGACUCAGAACGGUUAAUUUGGAUCAAGUCAGGUACGUUUCAUUUAGACAUGAAAAACAUAAAGUGGUGUUUCUCAACACAACUUAGCAGUGGCCUUCAUGCAUUACUGCUACGGCCAUUAAGCGUGAAUGGAAAGCUGCACAUUAUGCAUGAUGUAAAACCCCCAAGACUAGGGAACACGAAGGGACAGACACAGACACGUCCCUUUGUGUUCCCUAGUCUCGGGGUUUUACAUGUGCAUCAUCUUCACCAGCUCGCUUGCUUCCUAGCCAUUUUUUCUGCACAUUAUGUUCACUCUACUUUUAUCGUGUGCUAUAUAAUCUUGUUCAAGUUCUGUGAAACGACGUGUAAUGCUAUAAAAAAAUUCAGUACACUGCUUAUGUGGGUUGAAUGGUAGCGCAUGAAUGCAGGAAGGAAACUGUCAUGUUAUGGCAAGUGUUUACGUAUUGUACAUUUAACUACUAAUUUUAUUGGUUAGCUUUUGCCGGCGUAUCAUGUCAAGCCAUGUUCAGUGGCGUAGCCACGGGGGGGCUAGGGGGGGCUCGAGCCCCCCCUACCUGCCACGGACCGACCCAUGCAAAUCGUGCAAAUCCGAGGAGAACAUAAUAUAUGGGGGUGUGAGGGGAGACCAGAGUGACGAUCGCGAAGGUUCUUGCAGUUCAUGGCGUCUAUCUAAGCAGCGCUCUUGAAUGGUUUUCAAAGUAUGAGCUUUUCAAAUCUCGUGACACUACCUCAAUGGUCAUGACAGCCUUUACAUGUAAUCGUAUUGUGAACGUCCAAAUCAACUAUUUUCGUUCCUUUUUUUUUUCGUCCGCACUUUGCAGUGUGCCCCAAGUAUAUGGGGGCGGGGGCGAGUUUUCAUAUCGAGCCCCCCCUACCUUGGAGGUCUGGCUACGCCACUGGCCAUGUUAUAUUAAUUUGGAACAUGUUCUUCUUAGUAGCCAGAGCAGCUGAUACACAGUGAGAACACAGCCCAUGUGUGUUUGUCUUUUCCGCCGCAGCCCUUGGGUUUCCUCCCUGAUGGCUACACAUGUCAGGGAUAGGUUUCAGAACCGGUAGUUCCCGCCAAGUGUGAAUUGCUUUUCAGGGGAUCAUCACGCUGGCAGAUGAACCAUAUGGUUUAAAUUAUUUGCAGGACAGGAAUUGCGUAGCUUCACACAAAUAGUACUACUACGACGUAAGAGUGGUUUCAAAUCGAGCUUUUUUGUGUUCCUGACAUUAUCGCACAAGAUGUAGUAUCCACUAUGAUCCUUUAUAUGGGGGGUAUGUACAGUGCAAUCAACAGAUGCUAUUUACAAAUCUGUGUUUUCUACUGUGUUGAAAUGGGGUAGUUUGUAUCUGAGAGCCAUAGUGAAACACAGGCAGCCAAGGGCAGACUUUUGAUGCCCUCGAGAAACAUGGCAACACAUUGCAGGGACUCUGGAUGCUGCCUAAAUUUCCAGAACACACAGCUCAAGGCAGCGGUUAAAUAACAACUGGUUUGAGAAAUCCAAGACAGUUGCACCUGUAAGCAGUUCACUGUUGGAUUAGCUUCUCUCCGAGAUACGUUAUCUCAAAGGGAACGCACGGGCACACUCAGAAUGAUACUAGGGCUGCCUGUGAAAUAGAAUGAGGAGAGGGGGAGAUAUAUAACCCUUUUUUCUUGUCUGUUAUUCUAUUGGUUAAAUUGUCAGUUGCUUAACAGCAUAUAUGUGUAUAUUCCAGAGUCUGCUAAUAAAUAUAUCAGUUUAGAGCUAGCAGUCGCACUGUAGAUGUCUCAUCCUGCCCUUGGCUGCUCGUGUUCCACUAUGGCCAUGAUUGCUACUGCAAAAACAGAAAACGAAAAAGACAAUAGAAAAACACGAAAAGAACGACCUAAAAAGCUGCCUGUUCUAGUGCUCACAUGGAGGAAAUGCAAUGAGGUAACAUGUUCCAUUCAUGAACUGUGCAUAGUAGUACAUAUCACAACGGCAACCGAUUAUUCAGAUUUUUCUUGAAGUACUUUGUUUUUUGGAGCUUUGUUUACACAGUCUAUUAUUGGAGCUUUAUGUGAUUCCCCUCUUGAGAUACUUUAAGAUUGCUGGUGCUGUGCAGUUUGUUAAUUUUGAAACUGUGCUGUGCUGAGGUAUAAUUGUCAUAUCCACAUUUGAGCACAUAGGAAUAAUUUGUAAGUACUUUCCUUGUUGACAUUAAUAUUUGCACCAAGU